rnacentral:lncRNA from 1 species
AUAUGUAAUGAACAAAUGUGUAACAGAACAUGAAAACUUCCAAGUACAUGAUGUAUAGUUUUAGUACAUUUUUUAAUAAAAUAUAAGAAUAAAUAUUUUAAAUACAAAAUAAAUAAUAUUUCAAAAUUAUUUUUUAAUACAACUUGAAUUUAUUUACAGGGAGAAUGUACACUGUCUACGUACUUAUUGGUGUACUGAUUGGCUCUUAUUUUUCCCAUGGCAUACUGAAUUAAACUACCAAGCUUAACCACGCGCUUGCUACCCUGGCCGUGUGAGCGACGUGACGAUACAAUUUGCUCUGAGUGAUAUAUACGCAUGCCUUAC